rnacentral:rRNA from 1 species
GAUGAACGCUGGCGGCGUGCCUAAUACAUGCAAGUCGAGCGAACAGACGAGGAGCUUGCUCCUCUGACGUUAGCGGCGGACGGGUGAGUAACACGUGGAUAACCUACCUAUAAGACUGGGAUAACUUCGGGAAACCGGAGCUAAUACCGGAUAAUAUAUUGAACCGCAUGGUUCAAUAGUGAAAGACGGUUUUGCUGUCACUUAUAGAUGGAUCCGCGCCGCAUUAGCUAGUUGGUAAGGUAACGGCUUACCAAGGCAACGAUGCGUAGCCGACCUGAGAGGGUGAUCGGCCACACUGGAACUGAGACACGGUCCAGACUCCUACGGGACGCAGCAGUAGGGAAUCUUCCGCAAUGGGCGAAAGCCUGACGGAACAACGCCGCGUGAGUGAUGAAGGUCUUCGGAUCGUAAAACUCUGUUAUUAGGGAAGAACAAAUGUGUAAGUAACUAUGCACGUCUUGACGGUACCUAAUCAGAAAGCCACGGCUAACUACGUG